AGAGUUUGAUCCUGGCUCAGAAUCAACGCUGGCGGCGUGCCUAACACAUGCAAGUCGCACGAGAAAGGGGAGCAAUCCCUGAGUAAAGUGGCGCACGGGUGAGUAACACGUGACUAACCUACCCUCGAGUGGGGAAUAACCUAGAGAAAUCUGGGCUAAUACCGCAUAACACUUACGAGUCAAAGCAGCAAUGCGCUUGGGGAGGGGGUCGCGGCCGAUUAGCUAGUUGGCGGGGUAAUGGCCCACCAAGGCGAUGAUCGGUAUCCGGCCUGAGAGGGCGCACGGACACACUGGAACUGAAACACGGUCCAGACUCCUACGGGAGGCAGCAGUGGGGAAUUUUGCGCAAUGGGGGAAACCCUGACGCAGCAACGCCGCGUGGAGGAUGAAAUAUCUUGGUAUGUAAACUCCUUUCGAUGGGGAAGAUUAUGACGGUACCCAUAGAAGAAGCCCCGGCUAACUUCGUGCCAGCAGCCGCGGUAAUACGAGGGGGGCAAGCGUUGUUCGGAUUUAUUGGGCGUAAAGGGUGCGUAGGCGGUUUGGCAAGUCUGAUGUGAAAUCUAUGGGCUCAACCCAUAGUCUGCAUCAGAAACUGCCGGGCUUGAGUAUGGGAGAGGUGAGUGGAAUUUCCGGUGUAGCGGUGAAAUGCGCAGAUAUCGGAAGGAACACCUGUGACGAAAGCGGCUCACUGGACCAUUACUGACGCUGAUGUACGAAAGCUAGGGGAGCAAACAGGAUUAGAUACCCUAGUAGUCC
rnacentral:rRNA from 1 species